UGGCCCUUACAUCCCGGGCUACACACGUGCUACAAUGGCAGGUACAGAGGGCUGCGAAGCCGCGAGGUGGAGCGAAUCCCAGAAAACCUGUCUCAGUCCGGAUUGAAGUCUGCAACUCGACUUCAUGAAGGCGGAAUCGCUAGUAACCGCGAAUCAGCAGGUCGCGGUCGAAUACGUUCCCGGGCCUU
rnacentral:rRNA from 1 species